rnacentral:rRNA from 1 species
AUUGAACGCUGGCGGAAUGCUUUACACAUGCAAGUCGAACGGCAGCACGGACUUCGGUCUGGUGGCGAGUGGCGAACGGGUGAGUAAUACAUCGGAACGUGCCCAGUCGUGGGGGAUAACAUAGCGAAAGCUACGCUAAUACCGCAUACGAUCUAAGGAUGAAAGCGGGGGAUCGCAAGACCUCGCGCGAUUGGAGCGGCCGAUGGCAGAUUAGGUAGUUGGUAGGGUAAAGGCCUACCAAGCCGACGAUCUGUAGCUGGUCUGAGAGGAUGACCGGCCACACUGGGACUGCGACACGGCCCAGACUCCUACGGGAGGCAGCAGCGGGGAAUUUUGGACAAUGGGCGCAAGCCUGAUCCAGCCAUGCCGCGUGCAGGAUGAAGGCCUUCGGGUUGUAAACUGCUUUUGUACAGAACGAAAAGGCUCUGGUUAAUACCCGGGGCUCAUGACGGUACUGUAAGAAUAAGCACCGGCUAACUCCGUGCCAGCAGCCGCCGUAA